UACGUAGGGGGCAAGCGUUGUCCGGAUUUAUUGGGCGUAAAGAGCGUGUAGGCGGCCUGACAGGUCUGCUGUGAAAACUCGAGGCUCAACCUCGAGAUGUCGGCGGAAACCGUCUGGCUAGAGUCCGGAAGAGGAGAGUGGAAUUCCUGGUGUAGCGGUGAAAUGCGGCAGAUAUCAGGAAGAACACCUAUGGCGAAGGCAGCUCUCUGGGACGGUACUGACGCUGAGACGCGAAAGCGUGGGGAGCGAACAGG
rnacentral:rRNA from 1 species